rnacentral:rRNA from 1 species
CCUACGGGCGGCAGCAGUGGGGAAUAUUGCACAGUGGGGGAAACCCUGAUGCAGCGACGCCGCGUGAGUGAAGAAGUAAUUCGUUAUGUAAAGCUCUAGCAGCAGGGAAGAAAAUGAAGGUACCUGAGUAAGAAGCCCCGGCUAACUACGUGCCAGCAGCCAGGGUAAUACGUAGGGGGCAAGCGUUAGCCGGAUUUACUGGGUGUAAAGGGAGCGUAGAAGGGAGUGCAAGUCUGGAGUGAAAGGCGGGGGCUCAACCCCCGGCCUGCUCUGGAAACUGUACGGCUGGAGGGCAGGGGAGGUAAGUGGAAUUCCUAGUGUAGCGGUGAAAUGCGUAGAUAUUAGGAGGAACACCAGUGGCGAAGGCGGCUUACUGGACAUUAACUGACGCUGAGGCACGAAGGCCAGGGGAGCGAAAGGGAUAGAUACCCUAGUAGUC